GUCUAUAUGUCUUUAAUGGCGUUGCUUUUUAGGAGACUGUCCGGAAUGCUAAGCUCCAGCCCAUGGAGUGGGGAUGAGCAGAGCUCUGCCUGAAGAGAGGGAGGAAAUAAGAAGUGGCUUCAUGGUCCUGUUAAGGCUCCUGAAAUAGCCCAGCAUUUGCUGUUCAAUAAUGAUGGCUUUUCAAGAGAUGUUGCUCCUGUGCUCCGUGCGUUCAAGAAAUGGGGCAAAAUCCUAUGUGCAAGAAUGCUCAUCACUCAGAAACAGUUAUAUGGGAAAUGUGAUGAUUCUUUGCAUGCUGCUUCAGAAUCCAGUUUUUAGGUUUGGAGUGGAACAACCUGAGUCCCAUGUUGUAUAUUCAGCUACACUCAUGGCCAAUGCCUCUUGAAGCCAGUCAUCUGUGACUGUUCUCCCUUGGCCACUGUUUUAAGAAGAGUUUGAAGACAUUACUCACCCCCAUUUCUUCUGAGCUCAUGAUGCCAAGUC